AGAUUAACAGCAAACCUUGUAGCAAUGGGUGUUUCACCAGUCUUGAUUUGAUGAGAGGGGGAGUUUGUGAAGAAUUGGUAUUCAUUCACUUUUGGAUGUUUGGUGGAAUUCGGUAGCUAAAGUAUGGGCUUGGACAUUUUUUUUUUCACUAAGAAGUGAGUCAGUGAAGCUCUUCAAGCUAUGAUACCAGAAGUCAAUCUCCUCUAAAUGCUAAAAAUAUUGAUACCUACUUCAAGGAGUUAA